UGUCCAGACUCCUACGGGAGGCAGCAGUGAGGAAUAUUGGUCAAUGGGCGGGAGCCUGAACCAGCCAAGCCGCGUGAAGGAAGAAGGCGCCAGGCGUCGUAAACUUCUUUUGUCGGGGAACAAAGGGCGCCACGUGUGGCGUUGUGAGUGUACCCGAAGAAAAAGCAUCGGCUAACUCCGUGCCAGCAGCCGCGGUAAUACGGAGGAUGCGAGCGUUAAUCGGAAUUACUGGGCGUAAAGCGCUCGUAGGCGGUAUGUCAAGUCAAGGGUGAAAUCCCCGCGCUCAACGUGGGAACUGCCUUUGAAACUGGCAAACUGGAGUGUGUGAGAGGAUAGUGGAAUUCCAGGUGUAGGAGUGAAAUCCGUAGAUAUCUGGAGGAACAUCAGUGGCGAAGGCGACUAUCUGGCACAUAACUGACGCUGAGGAGCGAAAGCGUGGGUAGCAAACAGGAUUAGAUACCCCGGUAG
rnacentral:rRNA from 1 species